rnacentral:rRNA from 1 species
UAGAGCACUGUCAUGGUUGUGGGGUCCAUUGCGGAUUACUACGCCAUAGCAAACUCCGAAUACCGAAGAGUGCAAUCACGGGAGACAGACAUCGGGUGCUAACGUCCGGUGUCAAGAGGGAAACAACCCAGACCGCCAGCUAAGGUCCCCAAAUAUUGCUAAGUGGGAAACGAAGUGGGAAGGCUAAAACAGUCAGGAGGUUGGCUUAGAAGCAGCCAUCCUUUAAAGAAAGCGUAAUAGCUCACUGAUCGAGUCGUCCUGCGCGGAAGAUGUAACGGGGCUAAGCAAUAUACCGAAGCUGCGGAUGCAUAUUUAUAUGCAUGGUAGGAGAGCGUUCCGUAAGCCUGCGAAGGUGCACUGGAAAGUGUGCUGGAGGUAUCGGAAGUGCGAAUGCUGACAUGAGUAGCGAUAAAGGGGGUGAAAGGCCCCCUCGCCGUAAGCCCAAGGUUUCCUACGCAACGUUCAUCGGCGUAGGGUGAGUCGGCCCCUAAGGCGAGGCAGAAAUGCGUAGCUGAUGGGAAGCAGGUUAAUAUUCCUGCACCAUUGUUGAAUGCGAUGGGGGGACGGAUCGCGGAAGGUUGUCCGGGUGUUGGAAGUCCCGGUCCUUGCAUUGGAGAAGGCGCUUUGGCAAAUCCGGGCGCGUAAUUCAAGGGUGUGAGGCCAGUCACUUCGGUGACGAAGCAAUCGGAAGUGGUUCCAGGAAAAGCCUCUAAGCUUCAGUUCAACAAGACCGUACCGCAAACCGACACAGGUGGGCGAGAUGAGUAUUCUAAGGCGCUUGAGAGAACUCGGGAGAAGGAACUCGGCAAAUUGGUACCGUAACUUCGGGAUAAGGUACGCCCCUGUAGCUUGAUGCGCCUGCGCGCAAAGGGUGAAGGGGUUGCAAUAAACUGGUGGCUGCGACUGUUUAAUAAAAACACAGCACUCUGCAAACACGAAAGUGGACGUAUAGGGUGUGACGCCUGCCCGGUGCCGGAAGAUUAAAUGAUGGGGUGCAAGCUCCUGAUUGAAGUCCCGGUAAACGGCGGCCGUAACUAUAACGGUCCUAAGGUAGCGAAAUUCCUUGUCGGGUAAGUUCCGACCUGCACGAAUGGCGUAACGAUGGCCACACUGUCUCCUCCCGAGACUCAGCGAAGUUGAAGUGUUUGUGAUGAUGCAAUCUCCCCGCGGCUAGACGGAAAGACCCCAUGAACCUUUACUGUAGCUUUGCAUUGGACUUUGAACCGGUCUGUGUAGGAUAGGUGGGAGGCUUUGAAGCGUGAACGCCAGUUUGCGUGGAGCCAUCCUUGAAAUACCACCCUGAUCUGUUUGAGGUUCUAACCCUGGUCCGUGAAUCCGGACCGGGGACAGUGCAUGGUAGGCAGUUUGACUGGGGCGGUCUCCUCCCAAAGUGUAACGGAGGAGUACGAAGGUACGCUAGGUACGGUCGGAAAUCGUGCUGAUAGUGCAAUGGCAUAAGCGUGCUUGACUGCGAGACCGACAAGUCGAGCAGGUGCGAAAGCAGGUCAUAGUGAUCCGGUGGUUCUGUAUGGAAGGGCCAUCGCUCAACGGAUAAAAGGUACUCUGGGGAUAACAGGCUGAUACCGCCCAAGAGUUCAUAUCGACGGCGGUGUUUGGCACCUCGAUGUCGGCUCAUCUCAUCCUGGGGCUGUAGCCGGUCCCAAGGGUAUGGCUGUUCGCCAUUUAAAGAGGUACGUGAGCUGGGUUUAAAACGUCGUGAGACAGUUUGGUCCCUAUCUGCCGUGGGCGCUGGAUAUUUGAAGGGGGCUGCUCCUAGUACGAGAGGACCGGAGUGGACGAACCUCUGGUGUACCGGUUGUCACGCCAGUGGCAUCGCCGGGUAGCUAUGUUCGGAAGAGAUAACCGCUGAAAGCAUCUAAGCGGGAAACUCGCCUUAAGAUGAGAUAUCCCCGGGGCUUCGAGCCCCUUGAAGGGUCGUUCAAGACCAGGACGUUGAUAGGUCAGGUGUGUAAGCGCAGUAAUGCGUUGAGCUAACUGAUACUAAUUGCCCGUAAGGCUUGAUCCU